CUGUCCUUCAUGCAAGAAGGAAGCCCACACAGCCCGUUCUCCCUCCUCUCUUCAGUCUCAAUGACUGCAGAGAGCCUGCUCUACAUUACAUUUGAAUUUGGACAGGAGAGUGGGACUGGGCAAACAAGCUGCUCUGGGAGCUGUGGACAUGGUCUAUAAUACAGCAUAAAAAGCUACAGCUAAGAAGAAAAGAAUGAGACACCCAGGUCCUGGUCACCAGUUGCCAUGUUUGUCACCGGGUGCUGUGGCUAUGGAGACUGUGAUCUGUAAAUGUGCCACUCUGCACAGCACACUAGAGGAUGGCUUGCUCAACAUGGCUUGAAUGGGACUUGCCCUCCCUCCUUCUUCCUUGUGGCCAGUCAGAGGGCAUCUGUGAUGUAAUGAGAUUUUCCCUACUGAUUACAGUGUGGUGCAUUGUGGGCAGUCUCUCCCAAUUCUCAGAAGACCUUCCCUAAUCCCAGUUGUUGGCAGUCAAGAUCAUCUGGCUGACACAGGAGGAUCCCUGAGCUACUGGCUUCUCUGAUGGUGACCUUGGACCACGCCUUGGACGGAUGAGCUUGUGACAGCUGCAGCUGCUUGCAGCCAUGGCUGCCACACUUUGGGGAGCCCGGGGAGGGGAGGGGAGGGGAGGGGAGGGGGAAUCCCCAGGAUGCACCACCACUCAUGCAGUGCAUCCUGAUAGUUCUGAGGGCUGGGACAAUACAUCGCAGCCCCUGGCCCUCCCCGCUGCCUGGCUGAGCAGGUAAUCAUCUGGACACACAGGGAGCACACCCAGCAGCACACACUGGAUCAUCUGCAGGGAAGGUGAGUAUAACCCCGCAGCGCACUCUGGAGACCUUCUCACUGGUUGUGAGAAGAGGCUGUAUGACCUCUUACUAAGAGACUACAGUGAUAACUCAAGGAAGUCUAGGACUCACUCCCUGUAUCUGUUGUAUUCCAGACAGGUUUGCAAUGUCUGCUCUUCAUUGUCACUAUUCAGCAAUAUCAUUUCUCACAUUCAAGGAAACUGUUGUUAGCGUCCUUGAUUUAAAACAUUAUACUUGACAGAUCUAAAUAUUGCCCUGGCAUAAAAGAAACUCAAAUAACUUAAAAACCUCUUCUGCUGCAAGAAUUUAUUUUGUAUUGCUAGUCCAAAUCCUUUUGGGCUAACAGUUGAUGGGUAUGAGAGCAGACAAAUGUGGGAUUUUGACUUGACAGUUAUGUUUAAGCAUACAAUUAGC